GACGAACGCUGGCGGCGUGCUUAACACAUGCAAGUCGAACGGAAAGGCCCUGCUUUUGUGGGGUGCUCGAGUGGCGAACGGGUGAGUAACACGUGAGUAACCUGCCCUUGACUUUGGGAUAACUUCAGGAAACUGGGGCUAAUACCGGAUAGGAGCUCCUGCUGCAUGGGGGGGGUUGGAAAGUUUCGGCGGUUGGGGAUGGACUCGCGGCUUAUCAGCUUGUUGGUGGGGUAGUGGCUUACCAAGGCUUUGACGGGUAGCCGGCCUGAGAGGGUGACCGGCCACAUUGGGACUGCGAUACGGCCCAGACUCCUACGGGAGGCAGCAGUGGGGAAUCUUGCACAAUGGGCGGAAGCCUGAUGCAGCAACGCCGCGUGCGGGAUGACGGCCUUCGGGUUGUAAACCGCUUUCGCCUGUGACGAAGCGUGCGUGACGGUAAUGGGUAAAGAAGCACCGGCUAACUACGUG
rnacentral:rRNA from 1 species